rnacentral:rRNA from 1 species
AUUGAACGCUGGCGGCAGGCCUAACACAUGCAAGUCGAGCGGAUGAAGGGAGCUUGCUCCUGGAUUCAGCGGCGGACGGGUGAGUAAUGCCUAGGAAUCUGCCUGGUAGUGGGGGAUAACGUCCGGAAACGGGCGCUAAUACCGCAUACGUCCUGAGGGAGAAAGUGGGGGAUCUUCGGACCUCACGCUAUCAGAUGAGCCUAGGUCGGAUUAGCUAGUUGGUGGGGUAAAGGCCUACCAAGGCGACGAUCCGUAACUGGUCUGAGAGGAUGAUCAGUCACACUGGAACUGAGAAACGGUCCAGACUCCUACGGGAGGCAGCAGUGGGGAAUAUUGGACAAUGGGCGAAAGCCUGGUCCAGCCAUGCCGCGUGUGUGAAGAAGGUCGUCGGAUUGUAAAGCACUUUAAGUUGGGAGGAAGGGCAGUAAGUUAAUACCUUGCUGUUUUGACGUUACCAACAGAAUAAGCACCGGCUAACUUCGUG